AAUAGAUACCCUGGUAGUCCAUGCCGUAAACGAUGUCUACUAGCCGUUGGGGCCCUUGAGGCUUUAGUGGCGCAGCUAACGCGAUAAGUAGACCGCCUGGGGAGUACGGUCGCAAGACUAAAACUCAAAUGAAUUGACGGGGGCCCGCACAAGCGGUGGAGCAUGUGGUUUAAUUCGAUGCAACGCGAAGAACCUUACCUGGCCUUGACAUACAGAGAACUUUCCAGAGAUGGAUUGGUGCCUUCGGGAACUCUGAUACAGGUGCUGCAUGGCUGUCGUCAGCUCGUGUCGUGAGAUGUUGGGUUAAGUCCCGCAACGAGCGCAACCCUUUUCCUUAUUUGCCAGCACUUCGGGUGGGAACUUUAAGGAUACUGCCAGUGACAAACUGGAGGAAGCGGGGACGACGUCAAGUCAUCAUGGCCCUUACGGCCAGGGCUACACACGUGCUACAAUGGUCGGUACAAAGGGUUGCUACUGCGCGAGCAGAUGCUAAUCUCAAAAAGCCGAUCGUAGUCCGGAUCGC
rnacentral:rRNA from 1 species